UACGUAGGGGGCAAGCGUUAUCCGGAUUUACUGGGUGUAAAGGGAGCGUAGACGGUUAUGUAAGUCUGGAGUGAAAGCCCGGGGCCCAACCCCGGGACUGCUUUGGAAACUGUGUAACUGGAGUACAGGAGGGGCAGGCGGAAUUCCUGGUGUAGCGGUGAAAUGCGUAGAGAUAUGGAGGAACACCAGUGGCGAAGGCGGCUUCCUGGUCUGCAACUGACACUGAGGCGCAAAAGCGUGGGGAGCAAACAGG
rnacentral:rRNA from 1 species